rnacentral:lncRNA from 1 species
GGGCGGGGUCUCAAGGUCACGUGGCCCAGCGAGGGCCGGCUGCGGCAGUUAAUUGGGCCCGACCAGGGGUGCGUGAGACGGAGGCCCCUUUUCUAUUAAACGGACCAGAGAGUCGCGAAGCCUCCGCGCUUCCUAGAAGGGACGCUGGCCGAGAAGCUGGGCUCGCUGCGCAGGAGUAAGGGCCGUCGAGUAGCGCGGGUUUCUUCCGCAUUCGCGCCCUCAGGUAGGGGCUUAGCGGAGGGGUGCGGAUAGAUGACGGGUCCGGUCCGGAACCUGGAGAGGGAACCCCGGCCAUGGGGGCUGCCGCAGGUGGACACUGAGGACUUCCUGGAGGCGGUGGCGCCGCGGAGUCUAGGCUGAUGGCUGCAAUCCUGCCCCAUCUUGGAGACCAUAACGUGGAAGCUGUAUUUGCGACAACUAGGUGGAAGGUGAGCUGGGCCCCUCCCUCCCUUAGGGUAGGGUAGUCCCUGCGGCCCAGCAAUGGCCUUGACUCCCUUGUUCACGUUGAGCCAUCUUUAUUCAUUUGGGGACUUUUCCUUCUUGGAAAGUGUGAUGUAAAGAGCUUGAACUCUGGGCCCAGGUUCAAAUCCAGGCUUUGCUUUAAUUGUGUUACCUUCAGCAAGUCACAUAGGCUCUCUGGGCCUCAGUUUACUUAUUUGUAAAUGGGAUGCUGAUAGUUCUUAUCAGGAGGAGUUUGAGGAUUAAGUGAGGCACUUAUGAAAAUAAGUAAUAUUUCCCAUAGUAUGUGGUUAUAUUUUAAGCACUCUGCAAGUUUUAGCUACUGUUUCCAUAGUCAUUGAUUGUUUCUGUCCAUGAGUGAUACUGUGUACCUACUGUGUACCACAUACUAUCCUUUGUGCUGGGAGAUCAAUUCUACCUGAAGGAGUUUACAGCCCAGAGUUCAAGCUCUUUUUGGAAAAGUAGAUAUGUCAACAGAUUUCUUGCAAUAUGGGGAUUAAUUCUGAUUCACCAUAUUAAAGGGAACAACAGCAGCUUAGUGACUGAGUUGGCAGCAUUGU